rnacentral:rRNA from 2 species
ACGUAGGUGGCAAGCGUUGUCCGGAUUUACUGGGUGUAAAGGGCGUGUAGGCGGAGAUGCAAGUCAGAUGUGAAAUCCUCGGGCUUAACCCGGGAACUGCAUUUGAAACUGUAUCCCUUGAGUAUCGGAGAGGCAGGCGGAAUUCCUAGUGUAGCGGUGAAAUGCGUAGAUAUUAGGAGGAACACCAGUGGCGAAGGCGGCCUGCUGGACGACAACUGACGCUGAGGCGCGAAAGCGUGGGGAGCAAACAG